rnacentral:lncRNA from 1 species
CCUCAACCUAUUGUCGUCUUUAACAUCUGUCUUCAAAUAAGCAUCACGUUCAAAAACAAAUUGCAAAUGUAAUAUGAAAGUUAGUACGUGAGGCAAUUCAGCAUGGUAGGAGUGGCCUCAGAAUCAAUCCAGUGCUCACCUGUCUCUUUUAGACAGCAUGACAACAGAAAUUAAAUAAGUCAACAACAGCGUUCAAUCAGGAAAGCAUUUUUCCAAGUUAACUAAAGAAGCACUUUUAAUUCAGUAUAUUAUAUACCAAGUCAACAGCCAAAGCAUUUGUUACAUGUAAAUUGUAACACCCAGAUAUAAAAAUUGACCGAUAUUAGGAUGAGAAAAUAUAUUAUGUAACAGGAGAAGCUGUGAAAUUUAGAACAAUCUAGCUUCAGUAAUUACUCACCUAGAAUAUUUCCAAAGAGGCCUACUAUCAGUCGAAUCAUUUUCAGGAAAACUCCAGAGUUGUGUAAUAUUCUAACAUCUUAUUCAUCGAAAGCUGCGCAAUGUAUCUGCUCAGCUCAAAGUUUACACUGCUAAGGUCACUGAGCCUGCAUAAAGUUCCAGCUCAACCAAUCAUUUCUCUCUUCAACAUAUUCCAUGGAUGCUCGUGCAAGUUUCUGCCAUGUUUACCUGCCACUAUUGGCUUUCAUGAGGCUGAUAGUUGCUAGAAUUCAUGAGGCUGAUAGUUGGUAGAAUGAUCACCAAAGGUCCUUGCAUGAGCACUGGCCUCCAACGAAAUGAUGAAAUCUGUUAGCAUCUCUUAAAAUGAUAUGCCGACUAAGAAUUUUGGAUACAAACUUCAUAAACAGAUGGCAAUCUCCACAAAUGCGGAUAUUCUUUAUAAUCCUAAUAGGCGAUGCUGAAGAAGAUUUUCUAAUCAAUCCAAAAGCAAGGGCAAGUUUCUCACUGUGAUGGCAUAUAGAUUCGAGUUUCUCAUCUUCCCCCACAUUGUGUAAAACAAAACUUUUAUUUGGUGCAAAUCCAGCUUCUUGUAGCUUUUUUAUCAGCGAAUCUAGUUCUAGAUGUAUAAGUUCUGAUUCAGGAUGACUUCGAUCUCCUGAAAGAAAUUUAUAGACCUUUCCGUCAAGCUGAAUCCAACUGUAAGCAGUGAAUUUUUUAACCUGCUUGUUUUUCAUAAGAGACCUAAUGAAUGCCACAUCUUUCCAUCUUCCAUGAUGAGCAUACAUGUUGGAGAGGAUUAUAUAAGGUUCAGCAUUGAGUGGAUCCAACUUAAAAAGGUUUUCUGCUGCCAUUUCUGCAUGUUUGAUAUCUGCAUUCUUCCUGCAAACUGAUAAAAAGGUUGACCAAAUCAUGUGAUUUGGUUUGUGUGGCAUCCCUCUUAUAAGAUCUGUUGCUUUGUCUAUGUUACCAGAACGGCCAAGAAGAGUAAUCAUGCAUACAUAAUGAUCCAAACUCGGUGUCAUCCCAUGUAUCUCUUUGAUUGAUUGAAAAUAUCGCUCUCCCUGAUCUGUAAGACCUGCAUGAAUGCAAGCAGACAACACACCAACAAAGGUAAUAUUUUCUGGUUUUAUGUCCAACCGGAGCAUUUCUUCAUAAAGGGCCAACGCUUCAAGAUCUUUGCCAUUUUGGGCAUAGCCUACAAGCAUGGAAUUCCAAGAGACCACACUUUUGACUGGCAUCUCAUAAAAAACAACCCAAGCAUGUGUAAUUUCUCCACAUUUAGAAUACAUAUCAACAAGGGCACUAGAAACAAGCAAAUCAUUUUCAACUCCCAUGUGCACAGUCCUUCCGUGCAUUACCUGACCUUCGACCAUAGAAGCCAAUUUGGCACACGAACUAAUCAUGGUUGACAUGGUAAACUUAUCAGGCCUCACAUUUUCUAAUAGCAUCUCCCUGAACAACAUCAAUGCAUUCUCUUCUAGCCCAAUUUGCCCAUACCCCACAAUCAUAGCUGUCCAACAAACCUUAUCCUUCUCUUUAAUCUGCCUAAAAGCUCUACGUGCCUCAUCUACACACCCGAUCUUAAAAAAGGCACCAAUGACAUUAGAAAUGGUAACUUGAUCCAUUUUCAAACCCAAAACUUUCAUCUCAUCAAACAUCUUAAUGCAUUUCAUGGGUUGUCCGUUUCUCAAAUACCCUGAAAUCAUCAAAUUCCAUGAAACCAAAUUCUUAUGAACAAUCUUAUCAAACAACCAUUCUGCCAUGUCAAUCUUACCACACUUGGCAUAAAAAUCACACAAGGCAUUCAAAACAAACACAUUGGCCUUAUUCCAUAAUCCAGAAACAAAAAUCUUGCAGAGAAUUUGUUUACCACUUUCAAAAUACAUCAAUUUGGUACAAACUUUCAAAAGACUAACAUAAGUGUACUCUGUUGGAACAAUUCUUUCUCUCUGCAUUUUCACGAAGAAUUCCAAAGCAUUCUUUUCGCACCCAUUAGACCCCAAUCCCGCAAUCACAAUAUUAUACGAAACUGAAUCGCGAAAAGGCAUUGAGCCAAAAAACUCCUUCAAAUCUUCAACAGAAUCCACUUUAGAAUAACCCGAAAGCAUCACAUUGUAUGAAAAGAUAUCCCUUUUGGACAUUUUAUCAAACAGAUUACGGGCGUCUGAAAGCCAACCCGACUGGACAUAGAGCUGUAAGAGGCGGUUGUAAAAGAAUGCUGUAGUGGGUGAAUGCAUUUGGUAUUCCAUGUGGGCUUGGAGUCUCUUCGCUUGGUGGGCAUCUCGGUUGCGAAUGCAAUCAAGGAGGAGGCGCGUGUAGGACUCAGUGGCGGCUGUGGUAGCUUCCUUGUAUAGCAAGUCUAUAGCUUCGCGGAGACUGGGCUUCAUUUUCAUAUUUCUGAUUAGUUUAAUAUUUUCCGGCGGGCCACUCCUCCCAAUCACACACACCGCCUAUACAUACAUUAUACAUACAUGUUUAUUCGUAUCCAUUAAUUCGAUUUUCCUUUGAAAAAAAUUCUGUAGUUAUUAUUGUUUUCGCUCAAUUCGUGGAAUCCGAAGUGCUCUCCGACCUUUUAU